rnacentral:rRNA from 1 species
UACGUAGGGUGCGAGCGUUGUCCGGAAUUAUUGGGCGUAAAGGGCUCGUGGGCGGUUUGUCGCGUCGGGAGUGAAAACUCAGGGCUUAACCCUGAGCCUGCUUCCGAUACGGGCAGACUAGAGGUAUGCAGGGGAGAACGGAAUUCCUGGUGUAGCGGUGAAAUGCGCAGAUAUCAGGAAGAACACCUAUGGCGAAGGCAGCUCUCUGGGACGGUACUGACGCUGAGACGCGAAAGCGUGGGGAGCGAACAGG